rnacentral:sRNA from 1 species
GGGCAGCCAUCGCCGAGUCCCCAAUGGCGCGAGCCAGGGGAGCCGGGGACCCAUACGUCCCUGGGGUGAAUCGGGCCCCUUCCCGGAGGGACCCGUAGGAGACCUUCCUGCUCCGAACCCGUCAGCUAACCCGGUAGGCGAGAAGGAAGGAAAGG